UUGAAGGCCCUUGCUGUAUUUCUGUA
rnacentral:piRNA from 1 species